AUUGAACGCUGGCGGAAUGCUUUACACAUGCAAGUCGAACGGCAGCACGGGUGCUUGCACCUGGUGGCGAGUGGCGAACGGGUGAGUAAUACAUCGGAACGUACCCUGACGUGGGGGAUAACGUAGCGAAAGUCACGCUAAUACCGCAUACGUCCUGAGGGAGAAAGCAGGGGAUCGUAAGACCUUGCGCGUUAGGAGCGGCCGAUGGCGGAUUAGCUAGGUGGUAGGGUAAAGGCCUACCAAGGCGACGAUCCGUAGCGGGUCUGAGAGGACGACCCGCAACACUGGAACUGAGACACGGUCCAGACUCCUACGGGAAGCAGCAGUGGGGAAUUUUGGACAAUGGGCGAAAGCCUGAUCCAGCCAUUCCGCGUGAGUGAAGAAGGCCUUCGGGUUGUAAAGCUCUUUCGGCAGGGAAGAAACGGUUUUGGAUAAUACCCAGAACUAAUGACGGUACCUGAAGAAGAAGCACCGGCUAACUACGUGCCAGCCGCCGCUGUAA
rnacentral:rRNA from 1 species